GAAAUGCGAUAAGUAAUGUGAAUUGCAGAAUUCAGUGAAUCAUCGAAUCUUUGAACGCACAUUGCGCCCGCCAGUAUUCUGGCGGGCAUGCCUGUUCGAGCGUCAUUUCAACCCUCAAGCCCUCGGGUUUGGUGUUGGGGAUCGGCGAGCCUUUCUGGCAAGCCGGCCCCGAAAUCUAGUGGCGGUCUCGCUGCAGCCUCCAUUGCGUAGUAGUAAAACCCUCGCAACUGGAACGCGGCGCGGCCAAGCCGUUAAACCCCCAACUUCUGAAUGUUGACCUCUAAUAGACAAGACUACCCGCUGAAUUUAA
rnacentral:misc_RNA from 1 species